AGGAUGCAAGCGUUAUCCGGAAUGAUUGGGCGUAAAGCGUCCGCAGGUGGCUAUGUAAGUCUGCUGUUAAAGAGUGAGGCUCAACCUCAUAAGAGCAGUGGAAACUACAUAGCUUGAGGGCGUUCGGGGCAGAGGGAAUUCCUGGUGUAGCGGUGAAUUUCUUAGAUCAGGAAGAACCCC
rnacentral:rRNA from 1 species